UUAACACUAGAAGCACCAGAGCGGUCAUUUUGACUGCAUUCUAUUUUUGACCCUGUGUAUUACUUAUUCCUAGUUGUUUUAGAAAGUUGAUAAUUUAGGACUUUUCCUAGAUCUACUUGAGGAUUAUAAUUCCUCCUUUACAGGUACUUAGUGUAAUUACUUUUUGAGAUGUGUUAAUAUAUACCUAGAAGCACCAGGGCGGUCAUUUUGACUGCUUUCUAUUUUUGACCCUCUGUAUUACUACUUAUUCAUAGUUAUUCUAGAAACUUAAAAAUUUAGGACUUUGCUACAUCUAUUUAAGGAUUACAAGUUCUCUUUUGCAGGUAGGUACUUAGUGUAAUUACUUGUCUACCUAGAAAAAAAUGCGGUCCUUAUUACGGAGGAGAGAGAAGUACCAGAUCUCAGCGAUGAUCAACAGAUAAAUUUGCACUUGCGUCGGCAAUAUGGAACUUAUUUAUAGAGAAUUGUAUAUUUUGUUACACCUACAACUGGCUAAAAUAUAUCUAUCGACGAACAGCUUUUUCCCACAAAGGCAAGAUGUCACUUCACCCAGUACAUUGCGUAUAAACCCGACAUCCAUUAAGGGAGCUUUCUCCGUAACGAACGAAGAGAGAAUUACACGCUGUUUUCUUAUUUUUAAUUUUGAACUGUACAUAUAUAAGUAUCCUGAAUAUAUUUACUUUAUUUUUAA